GUAUGGAAGCCAAUUUGACAAUAAAUUAUAUUAAUAAAUAAAUAAAUAAAUAAAUUCUAGUUAGUUAGCAUACAGCGUAAUAUUGGUUUCAGGACUGAUGGGUUUUGCCUGGAGUGGAAUUUCAAACCAAUCAGUCUAGAAUUUCCUAAUCAACACUAGUAAAGUAAUUAUGAUAGACUUUGGCCCUUCCCCCAGAGGAAGGUAACCUUGCCUGAAAUAAUCCUUUGUUUUGUUUGUGACUUCCUUGUCCCUGCCCACUUCUGCCUACAAAAGCCUUCUACUUUGUAAGCUCCUCCUUGCUCCUUCUCCAUGCUACAGGAGAUGCUGCCCCAGUCAUAAUCCAUUAGAUCUCAAAUGCACUCCAUCGAAUUUUGUUUUUUAGAGUUGGUGGCACCAGUGGAUUCUGGCGUGAACUUCCACCAGCAUUUGGGGAUCAGAAACACAGGGAAUACUAUUCUUUCAAAACAUGCUGUCCAUGGUCACCUCUUCCUUGGAGCCUUCCUUGAUCUGCAGCCUCAGCAGGCAGUUCUUUGUCCAGAUCACAAGACAGAUGCACACAUGGCCCCUGCUAACCUGUGGCAUCCUCAGAGCCAAGUACAGAGACAGGAUCACCUUCCUUCCCCGAGCAUCUAGCACAGCACCGGCACACAGGCCUCGAGCUCUUAGAACCCCCAAACAGAGUUGCCUGAGAAUCUUCUUAGAAGCGCAGGCCCCACCUCAGAGACUCUUGAUUCAGAAGGUUAGAUGUGGUGCCCAGGGAGCCGCAUGCUGAGUAACUGCUUCAGGCAAUUCUAAUGAUGUAGCCACUGAAAGGACUGCCAAGUCUGGUCGUAGGGGCCAUUAAGGAGCUGCAUUUCCCCCACAGGCCCUCCUGAUUGUGGUCCCCAAGUCAAUAA